rnacentral:snRNA from 1 species
GUGCUCACUUUGGCAGCACAUGUACUAAAAUUGGAAUGGCCCAUGUGAAAGUGUGACACACAAAUUCGUGAAGUGUUCCUGAAACCU